rnacentral:pre_miRNA from 1 species
UAGCCUGAGCGCAGGCGCCGCAUGGAGCCCGGGGUCAGCGGAGUCCCCAGCUGACCCCGAGCUCCAUGCGGCGCUUUCGCCUUUGAAG